rnacentral:rRNA from 1 species
CCUCCUAAAUCCUGUGGCGAGAGGAUUCAGUCUGGGGCGCAGGUCGUGCAGAUCGGAAAUCAGGUAGGGCUUCCCCGAGCGGGGGCCGUCCGGUCGCACGCAGCGCCUGUGCACCCGACGCAUUUGUCUCUCGUCCGAAGGACGCCGCAGCCGGCUGGGUAGUGCAAGCGCGACGACCUGAGGGGCGGAAGAUGGCAGGUGGCCGCUGGCGUGCCUCGUGCGCGUCGGCGGUUGUUAGCCGUUCCGUCAGUGGUCCGUCACCCGGCCGAGGUGUCGCGAGGCCCUUCGGGGCCUCAUCGCCUCCUCCUCAGAGUCGCGGGUCAGAGCGUCGCAGGUGGAAUCCGUCGUCCCGUUCGCACCCCUCCGGGGUGGUCGGGCGAACGGAGGCCUCCGUUGGUGGCGCCGGACCCGUUGGAGGCUGGAGGCUUGCGGCGAGUAGGUCGGUCACCCACCCGACCCGUCUUGAAACACGGACCAAGGAGUCUAACAUGUGCGCGAGUCAAUGGGUCUUGAAUAGGCCCAGGGGCGCAAUGAAAGCAAAGGACGGCCUCAGCGCCGUCCGAGUUGGGAUCCCCGUCUUCGGGCGGGGCGCACCAACGACCCGUCCUAUUCGGCUCGCCGAUUUGGGCGGAGUUUGAGCGUACACGUUGAGACCCGAAAAGAUGGUGAACUAUGCCCGGACAGGACGAGGCCAGAGGAAACUCUGAGUGGAGGUUCCGCAGCGGUUCUGACGUGCAAAUCGAUCGUCAGAUCUGGGUCUAGGGUCAAAAGAUUAUCCUACCAAUUC